ACUAUUUUGGCAGAUUAGUGCAAUAAAUUUAGAAUUUAUUUAUGUAAUUUAUUUUACAGAUAGUA
rnacentral:tRNA from 1 species